GUCAAAUAGGGUAAAGAAAACAGUCUAUUUGCAUGUUCCAUCCUUCCAUCCUUGCUGUUGGUAGCAGUUUCUGGAGCAACAAGUUCCUCUACUACCGUCACGUUGGCAUAGCCCUCCAUUCGGGAUACAUUGUCCAUUCGCAGUCUGGAUUCCCAGAACUGCCAUGAUGAUGACGAACACGAAGUAGACCAGUUUCAUGUUUGAGAACAAGUCGAA
rnacentral:misc_RNA from 1 species